rnacentral:rRNA from 1 species
UACGUAGGGUGCGAGCGUUGUCCGGAAUUAUUGGGCGUAAAGAGCUUGUAGGCGGUCUGUCGCGUCUGCUGUGAAAAUCCGGGGCUCAACCCCGGACUUGCAGUGGGUACGGGCAGACUAGAGUGUGGUAGGGGAGACUGGAAUUCCUGGUGUAGCGGUGAAAUGCGCAGAUAUCGGGAGGAACAUCAGUGGCGAAGGCGGCCUUCUGGUCCAGUACUGACACUCAAGUGCGAAAGCGUGGGGAGCAAACAGG